rnacentral:rRNA from 1 species
CCGCGUGUGUGAAGAAGGCCUUCGGGUUGUAAAGCACUUUCAGUUGUGAGGAAAAGUUAGUAGUUAAUACCUGCUAGCCGUGACGUUAACAACAGAAGAAGCACCGGCUAACUCCGUGCCAGCAGCCGCGGUAAUACGGAGGGUGCGAGCGUUAAUCGGAAUUACUGGGCGUAAAGCGCACGCAGGCGGUUUGUUAAGCUAGAUGUGAAAGCCCCGGGCUCAACCUGGGAUGGUCAUUUAGAACUGGCAGACUAGAGUCUUGGAGAGGGGAGUGGAAUUCCAGGUGUAGCGGUGAAAUGCGUAGAUAUCUGGAGGAACAUCAGUGGCGAAGGCGACUCCCUGGCCAAAGACUGACGCUCAUGUGCGAAAGUGUGGGUAGCGAACAGGAUUAGAUACCCUGGUAGUCCACACCGUAAACGCUGUCUACUAGCUGUUUGUGACUUUAAGUCGUGAGUAGCGAACCUAACGCGCUAAGUAGACCGCCUGGGGAGUACGGCCGCAAGGUU